AGGGGUAUAGUUUAAUGGCAAAACGAAGGUCUCCAAAACCUUUGAUGUGGGUUCGAUUCCUACUGCCCCUG
rnacentral:tRNA from 2 species